UAUAUAUAUAUAUAUAUACAUGCAUGUGUGUAUAGGGGAGAAAUGGAGGUAGUUAGACGACUUUGUGGUGGUAAAGAGUGAGCAUCUUUCUUCAUAAUUUUCCUUUUUUUUUUUCAUUGGAAGAAUUUUUUAUUUUCAUAUAUACUAAAGACAAAGUAGGAAGCCAUUUACAUUAGGUAUAGAAUAAAACUUACUGUUUAUUCUUGCUGGAUAUCAAAAGGCCAUAAGGUAGCAGUGGUAGUAGUGGCAAUGGUAAUUUUGGUAUUGGUCUGAACUUAAUUAUAUUGUACAUGUGCUUUAUUGUCUUCUGUCAGCCUUUGUUAUUUUGGCAUGAAGAAUGUAUUCUCUUUUAAUUUGAUUUGAUUUUUUUUUUUUUCCCUGAAAAUUUUAUUUUUCCAAUUAUUUUAUCUAAUAUUACUUCAUAGGAAAAAAAAUAUUGAGAAUUGUCUCAUUUCUAUUUUUAUUGAAAUAUAUUAAAAUGGACAGUAGGUGGGUGGGGAGAAGUAAUACAGAGGAAAGAUAUGUGAACUCAAACAUGAAAUGGAAAAUAAUCACUUUAGUAUUAUUGAGCUCAAAUUCCACCAUGGUCAACUUUGCCUUUCAUCCUUCCAGGAUUGCUGAAAUAAGCAUCAGUCAAGCACUGGGGUUGAUGUAAUUAAGUGCCCCUUCCCUUCAAAACUGCUGGCUUUGUGCCAAAACUAGAAAAAAUUAUUAUUAUUAUUAUCAUUAGGGCAGCAAGCCUGGCAAGACACUUAGCAAAAUUUCAUCUGUCUUUAUGUUCUGAGUUCAAAUUCUGCCAAGGUUGACUUUGCCUUUCAUCCUUUCAGGGUCGAUAAAAUAACUACCAGUUGAGCCCUGGGGGUCAAUGUAAUCAACUUACCUCCUUCCGCCAAACUUGCUGACCUUGUGCUAAAAUUUUAAACCAUUAUUAUUAUUAAUAAUGAAUUGGCAGAAUUAUUAUAGUGUUGGAAAAAAUGGUUUGUGUAUUUGUUUAGCACUUUACACUUCAAAUCCCUCUAGGGUCGAUAAAAUAUUGUACCAGUUAAGGACUGGGGGUGGGGAGCAGUGUAAUCCAUAAACACCCUCCCUUCAAAUUGCUGGCCUUGUACCUAAAUUAGAAACCCUUUAAGGCUGUGAACUAUCAGAAUGAUUAGAGCAUCAGAAAAAAAUGGACUUGCAUUUCUUCUGGUACUUUACAUCCUGAGUUCAAAUCCCACCAAAAUCAGUUUUGCCAUUCAUCCUUUCAAGGUUGAUAAAGUACCAGUAAAGUAUUGGACACCAAUAUAAUUGGCUAACCCACUCCAUCUAAAAUUUCUGGCCUUGUGCCAAAAUUUGAAGCCAUAAUUAUUAAUUUGGUGAGCCAGCAGAAUCAUAUGCACAUCAGACAGAAUCGUUAGUAGCAUUUCUUCCAACUCUUUAUGUUCUGUGUUCAAAUCACGCCAAAGUCAACUUUGCCUUUUGUCUCUUCAGAGUUGAUAAAAUAGAGGACCAGUGAAAUAUUGGGUCCAUGAUAUCAACUCACCCUGUCUCCUCAGAAUUGCAGGCCUUGUGCCAAAAUUUAAAACCAUUAUUGUUAUCAUUAUUAUUAUUAUUAUUAUUAUUAUUGCAAGCAAACAAUGCUUAGCGGCAUUUUGUCUAUCUUUAUAUCUUGUGUUCAAAUUCCACCAAGGUUGACUUUACCUUUCACCCUUUUCAGGUUGAUAAAAUAAGUAACAUUUGAGCAUUGGGGUCAAUCUGAUCAACGUAGCCCAUUCCCCCCAAAUUUACUGGCCUUGUGCCAAAAUUUGAAACCAUUCUUAUUGUUAUAAAGGUGAUGGAAUGGCUGGAAUAGAACAAGAUCAGUCUAAAUACUAAUCAGUGUUUGGGUUUAUCUUUCAGUAUUCUGAAUUCGUAUCUAGCUAUGGCUAAAUUUACCUUUCAUUCCACUGGGGUGGUUGAUGAAAUAAAAUUCCAGGUAUGUAUUGGGAUUGAUUCAGUUGUUUAUACCUACCACUUCUAAAAAUUUCAGGAUUUAUAUCGGAUCAUUCAAUCCUGUCAGUCAACUUUGCCUCAUCUAUAAUCUAGGAGUUAAGUAUUACCGACCAAUUUUCAUGGACUCAACAUCUACCCUAAAGAUUAGGCCUUGUGCAGAUGUUGGUUAUAUUUACACUAGAGAGUGGAGUAAAAGCCUUACAAUAUUUAGUCUUAUUCCUCUACAUUCUGGAUUUAAUUUGUUUUAUUCCUCCCAGAUCGAUAAAAUUAAUAUCACUUGACUUUCUCAUUCUCUACAAAUGUGUAUGGCUUUGUACCAAUGUCAGCAAUUAUUAUCAUAUUUUCAAUUCCAAGUUAGGAUCACUUUUCCAUGUAUUAUUUGGAAAGAUUUGUAUGUACUACUAUAUAUAUCUCAUCCUCUUCGCCACAGAGUCUAAUUCUUUUUUUGCUGAUUUUAAACUCAUUACUUGUUAUUGUCAUUUGUUGCUAUUUGUUAUUAUUUAAAAAAAUAUAAAAUCUAGGAAAAGUA
rnacentral:lncRNA from 1 species